rnacentral:rRNA from 1 species
CCUACGGGGGGCUGCAGUGGGGAAUAUUGGACAAUGGGGGCAACCCUGAUCCAGCCAUGCCGCGUGUGUGAAGAAGGCCCUCGGGUUGUAAAGCACUUUCAGUGAGGAAGAACGCCUGGUGGUUAAUACCCAUCAGGAAAGACAUCACUCACAGAAGAAGCACCGGCUAACUCCGUGCCAGCAGCCGCGGUAAUACGGAGGGUGCGAGCGUUAAUCGGAAUUACUGGGCGUAAAGCGCGCGUAGGUGGCUUGAUAAGCCGGUUGUGAAAGCCCCGGGCUCAACCUGGGAACGGCAUCUGGAACUGUCAAGCUAGAGUGCAGGAGAGGAAGGUAGAAUUCCCGGUGUAGCGGUGAAAUGCGUAGAGAUCGGGAGGAAUACCAGUGGCGAAGGCGGCCUUCUGGACUGACACUGACACUGAGGUGCGAAAGCGUGGGUAGCAAACAGGAUUAGAUACCCUGGUAGUC